CGGUACAUGUAUAAAGCAUUAAAUAUAGACAAAAACAAAAGCUAGUUGCACAGUUUACCUGUAAAUUGUGAUAUGAAUCUUUUAAACCUAGUUACUUUAUUAUUAGACAAUAUUUAUCAAAUAAAAACAAAAGUACUACAUUAUUAAAAUCCAAAAACUUUUCGGAAUUAAACAAGAUCUAAUCUAGAAUAAUCCAAACGGAUCAUUAUCAAAAUCUCCACGGAGCCGAAGACAGGAGUGCGGUGCGGUACAGUAGUGCAGUGACAUCCCACGGAACCUGGAGGCUGGAGGCAGGCAGGCUGCCAGACUCUACAAAAGAACCAGACUCUACAAAAGAACCUUUUCUUCCC
rnacentral:lncRNA from 1 species